CCUACGGGCGGCAGCAGUGAGGAAUAUUGGUCAAUGGCCGGAAGGCUGAACCAGCCAAGCCGCGUGAAGGACGAAGGUGCCAAGCAUUGUAAACUUCUUUUGUCAAAGGACAAAAUCAGGCACGAGAGCCUGACCGAGGGUACUUGACGAAAAAGCAUCGGCUAACUCCGUGCCAGCAGCCGCGGUAAUACGGAGGAUGCGAGCGUUAUCCGGAUUUAUUGGGUUUAAAGGGUGCGUAGGCGGACGGUUAAGUCAGCGGUAAAAGCCCGGGGCUCAACUCCGGCGAGCCGUUGAAACGGGCUGUCUAGAGAUGAGGGGAGGUAGGCGGAAUG
rnacentral:rRNA from 1 species